AGUGGCGGACGGGUGAGUAACGCGUGGGCAACCUGGCCUGUACAGGGGGAUAACACUUAGAAAUAGGUGCUAAUACCGCAUAACGGGAGAAGCCGCAUGGCUUUUUCCUGAAAACUCCGGUGGUACAGGAUGGGCCCGCGUCUGAUUAGCCAGUUGGCAGGGUAACGGCCUACCAAAGCGACGAUCAGUAGCCGGCCUGAGAGGGCGGACGGCCACAUUGGGACUGAGACACGGCCCAGACUCCUACGGGAGGCAGCAG
rnacentral:rRNA from 1 species